AGCUUUCGGAGCUCGGCGUACCGCUCAGUAACACGUGGGUAACCUAACCUAUGCAGGGGAAUAACCUCGGGAAACUGAGUAUAAUGCCCCAUAGUCCACUACGCCUGGAACGGUGAGUGGAUCAAAGCUCAGGCGGCAUAGGAUGGGCCUGCGGCGUAUCAGGUUGUAGGGGGUGUAAAGUACCCUCUAGCCAUCUACGCGUACGGGUGUUGGGAGACAUAGCCCGGAGAUGGAUUCUGAGACACGAAUCCAGACCCUACGGGGUGCAGCAGGCGCGAAAACUUGACAAUGCGAGCAAUCGUGAUCAGGGAACUCCAAGUGGCUGGGGUAAGACCCAGUCUUUUCAUAACUCUUCAAAGGUUGUAGAAUAAGGGGUGGGUAAGGACGGUGCCAGCCGCCGCGGUAAUACCGGCGCCUCAAGUGGUAGUCGCUUUUAUUGGGCCUAAAACGUCCGUAGCCGGUUUGGUACAUUCGUGGGUAAAUCAACUCGCUCAACGAGUUGAAUUCUGCGAGGACGGCCAGACUUGGGACCGGGAGAGGUGUGGGGUACUCUCAGGGUAGGGGUAAAAUCCUGUCAUCCUGAGAGGACCACCUGUUGCGAAGGCGCCACACUAGAACGGAUC
rnacentral:rRNA from 1 species